rnacentral:rRNA from 1 species
UACGGGGGGAGCAAGCGUUGUUCGGAUUUACUGGGCGUAAAGGGCGCGUAGGCGGCCAGCACAAGUCAGUUGUGAAAUCCCCGAGCUUAACUCGGAAAGGUCAACUGAUACUGUGCGGCUAGAGUGCGGAAGGGGCAACUGGAAUUCUUGGUGUAGCGGUGAAAUGCGUAGAUAUCUGGAGGAACACCGGUGGCGAAGGCGGCAUCCUGGACCGACACUGACACUGAGGAGCGAAAGCCAGGGGAGCAAACGGG